rnacentral:rRNA from 1 species
AGAGUUUGAUCCUGGCUCAGGAUGAACGCUAGCUACAGGCUUAACACAUGCAAGUCGAGGGGCAUCGCGGGGAGGCUUCGGCCACCCUGGCGGCGACCGGCGAAUGGGUGAGUAACACGUAUCCAACCUGCCCCGUACCGGGGGAUAGCCCUCCGAAAGGAGAAUUAAUACCCCAUAUCUCGGUCCGCGACAUCUCGGUCCGAGGAAAGGUUCGCCGGUACGGGAUGGGGAUGCGCCCGAUUAGCUUGUUGGCGGGGUAACGGCCCACCAAGGCGUCGAUCGGUAGGGGUUCUGAGAGGAACGGUCCCCCACACUGGAACUGAGACACGGUCCAGACUCCUACGGGAGGCAGCAGUGAGGAAUAUUGGUCAAUGGGGCGGGAGCCUGAACCAACCAAGUAGCCGUGAAGGAUGACCGGCCCGUACGGGUUAGUAAACUUUCUUUUGUGCGGGAAGUAAAGUGCGCCACGUGUGGUCGUUUUGCACGUACCGCAAGAAAAAGCACCGGCUAAUUCCGUGCCAGCCGCAGC